ensembl:lncRNA
GAAAAACAAGGUUUUCAGAAGAGUGCCUGCACACACCGAGACACGACACGUCCUCUGAUACGCGACAAACUUCUGAUUUCUGAGAGUCGGAGCAUCUCGUGGGAAGACGCACUAGAAUCAAGAAUACGAGUCGAGAGGCUACGGGACCAAGACCACAAAGCCCUGCUGCCGUGGUGUGAAGGAAACCGCUGCCAUGGCAACGGCCUCCUAGGACGGUUUCAACGACCGAUUCCACACUUCUCUGGAAAAAGGAGUCACGUUGCAGACUUUUUUUAAGAAGCGGCGAACGAGGGCGACAAAAGCGUCUCGGCUGCCAAGUGUCAUAAAGAGAUACGGCCGAUGAAACCGAGGCGACGAAGAGGAGAAGGUCCAGAUGCUUUCAGUCGAUUGACAGUCUUUUUUUCCACCGUUCGUCUGUAUGUUUUUUAUGACCUUCAUGAUUUCUUGUCUAGUCUCAAAAAUAUUAAACAAAACAACAACAAAAAGAUAAAAGAACAAACGUGGCAUUUGAAAAACUAGUACCAGCAAAUGUUAGUCCAACAGGAAGUGCAUCAAAACCGCACGCAAACAAGAGUUAUACACAUGUAGCUCACAAGUAAUCCUCAUGUACAGCUGUGCAUGCACUAGUUAUAACAUGCUUAUAACAUCCAACAACAGUCGGUAUCACUGGAAAGAGCCCUGAUGAAGGCCUGGUGAAGGCCUGGUGAAGGCCUGGUGAAGCCCUGGUAAAACC